AGAAUCAACGCUGGCGGCGUGCCUAACACAUGCAAGUCGAACGAGAAAGUGGUAGCAAUACCAUGAGUAAAGUGGCGACCGGGUGAGUAACACGUGACUAACCUACCUUCAAGUGGGGGAUAACCUCGGGAAACCGGGGCUAAUACCGCAUAACAUCUUUGGAGUGGAAAUUCUGGAGAUCAAAGGAGCAAUUCGCUGGAAGAGGGGGUCGCGGCUGAUUAGCUAGUUGGCGGGGUAAUGGCCCACCAAGGCUUUGAUCGGUA
rnacentral:rRNA from 1 species